rnacentral:tRNA from 1 species
GCAUUAAUGGGGUAGUGGUAACCUUGGUCGUUGCCAUCGACCAGCCGGGGGUUCAAUUCCCCCUUAAUGCA